GUACCAGUGACGUCAGACCUUACGACGAGCAAGCGACGCGCGAUAAUCACAAACUGUCUUUAGAACAUUUCUACACAUACAGUCGCUUGCGGCUGUUGAGUCAGCGGAAUGUGGCGUUUCGUCUUUGUGCUCCUGCUUCUUGGAGGUUUUGGUGCCCAUGGGGCCAGAUGGGAGAUUAUAAUUCAUACAUCUGACGAAGAAGGCGCGGGUACAGACUCCGACAUCUAUAUUACUCUCCAUGGAUCUAGCGGAUCUUCCGCAGAAAUAAAUUUAGGCAAUACUUACAACAACUACAACAACUACUUUGAGAGAAAUCAGGAGGACAGAUUCUUUGUUACAACUCACGACAUUGGUGAUGUGUGCUCACUGACCAUUAGGUCUGCCGGUAAUUACAAUUGGCAUGACUGGCAUCUCCGAGAGAUUUGGGUUCAGGGAAGAAUAAUGCAGAGGUUUUGGUGCGACUGCUUGUUAUCAAGGAAAACUGGAUAUCAGAAGGAAAUCUAUCCCGAUGUCCCAUGCUCCAGGCUGCAGUAAAAAGUAAACCGACGUGGGUGUCGGCACUUUGAAUCCGGCACUGACCAUCCAGCAUAAAGAGUUUAUUAACCUGAUGGAACACCUUGCUCAUCCGCUAACUGGUAGACAUUAAAAGAUAUAAAAAUGAACAUUCUUGAAAAUGGAAACAAAAAUGUGUUCUAUAGAAAGACACUAUAUUCAAUGAUCUACAAUUUUAAUACUGCUUGAAAGUUAUUUUGAAAAAAAAAACAUUUUCUAAGUAUUAUCGAUUACAGUCAGAAUUCUCAUUUAAGCUACUUGAAAAAAAUAUUUCUCAGAUAGUUAUUUUAUUUUUUCAUUCAAUCACAAGAUGAUAUGAAAAGGUAUGAAAUAUACUGGUAACAUAUACACUAGCCAACCCUAAAGAGUAGUGAACUGUAAAAGCUUCUGCAAAAGUCUACCUUAUAACCCAAGGUGUUCUACCCCACAAGCAAUUCUAAUGCGACCAAUUCUACCACAAAAAAAAAGAGUGGAAAGUAAUGUCCAAUUUCUCGAAAAGAAAACGUGUUCUAAGAUUUUGAACUUUAUCGUUGUAAAUGGCAUCGAAAAUGCAAGGUGAAAAUAAAAAAGUUGAAUCACAA